CAGAAUGUUGCAUGUACAGAAAAGGUUAAAAAUGGGCAUACAUAGAUGUUAGGUGGUUCCCUGAAGAGGGCUUGAGUUCAAGUAACUCAUUGCCUAAAACUGUGGUUUGCCGACCCGGGUAUAUUAUUAUACGCUGACUUAAGUGUCGUGUGGCGUAUCAGAUUCAGGAACUCCAACCCUUGCGGCAUACUCGGGUUGGAGGCUUUCCUACCGAGUCAAUGGCAGAUUCCAUAUC
rnacentral:lncRNA from 1 species